rnacentral:tRNA from 1 species
AGGAAUAUAGUUCAAUCGGAUAGAACGUUGGGUUACGACCCCAGAGAUGCGAGUUCGAGUCUUGCUAUUCCUG